UCGGACGGUUCAAAUUUAGUCAAAUAACCAAACCCCAAAACGUGUAUGAGUACUCCUUCCCAAAAAGUCAGAUGCACGCUUUUCCCCUCUCCAAUGCAACAGCGUCCCAUCACCCUCAUCUUUCCCAAAUCGACAAUAACUACAGCGCCCUUUCUCCUCUCUCUUCUUGACCCCUCCUGUCCCCCCCCCCCCCAAAUCAGAAAAUGCACCACCAUUACUGCAUCACUGCUACCCCCUAUCCACUGCCAUAUUUGUGCUAACCUGCAAGAAUCUCUCCAUUUUUUUUUCAUCUUCCAAGCCCGUGAAUCAAUGGGUGGCAGCCAGCCAGUUCCAAAUUCGUGCAGAACUGAAAACUCAUUAAAAUAUGCAAUUGAAAGUUUGCAAGAGGUCGAGGAUUGGGGUGGGGGGGAGAUUUCAAAAUUCGAAAUUUCUUCUCCUUUUACCGUUCUUUAUUUUGAGGUUUCAAAUUCGGACUUUGAGGUCCGGAUUUGCGCCUAUAAAAGAGGCUUUUUUUUCGGAUGCUCAGGGGAGACAGAGGGGGAACACUCGAAAAUUGAGGAAUAUUCACACAAAGUCACAAAUUAGAAGUCUCGUUUCUUCUUUUCGGUCUAGGUUCGGGCUCCCGAAGUUUGAGUUGGAUUGCCGGAAAAUCUUGGCGUCGAAGCCCCAGCUUGCUGCCCCAUUAAAGUUUCAACGGAAACUCGAUUUUGACCCAAAGAUUGGGUUGAUGGCUAUAGGAUUACAGAGUUCGGGGUCUAAAUCGCUACAAGUCGAUUCCUUCGAUAGAAAAGCUAUAGUAUUGAGUUUCCUACCUUCCUCGUUACUUUAUUAUUCGCAUUUGUUUCACUAACUUUUGUUACUUGAAUAUGUAUCUUUAUGUGGCCUUGAUUGAAAUCGAUUAACUUUACUGGUUUAGUUUCGUUCAA